GCCGUUAAGUCUUGACGAGUAAGAGGGUCGCGACGGUGAGCGCAGAAGGGUCAGGGCGAGAGCCUGCCUGGAGCCGCCGUUGGUGCAGAUCUUGGUGGUAGUAGCAAAUACUCUAGCGAGGGCCUGGAGGACUGACGUGGAGAAGGGUUUCUUGUGAACAGCCGUUGCACAAGAGUCAGUCGACCCUGAGCCCUAGGAGAAAUCCGAUGACGAUGGGUGGCUUGACAAAAAAAUAAUCCACAGUCUGUUUAUAGAACUGAGAGUUAGUAGUAGUAAGGAUAUACUUAUUACACAACACCAGUAAUAAAACAGCUCCUAUCGGGCAAAAGGGAAUCCGGUUCCUAUUCCGGAACCCGGCUGCGUAACCGCUACUUUGCGGGCACUUGCUUGCGAGCGCUCGUCGGGGUAACCCAAACUGGCCUGGAGACGCCGGCGGGGGGUCUGGAAAGAGUUUUCUUUUCUUUAUAAGCGUUCGAGUACCCUGGAAUCCUAUAGCAGGGAGAUAGGGUUUGGAAUGCGAAGAGCACCGCAGUUGCGGCGGUGUCCGGACCUUCCCCCCGGACCUUGAAAAUCCAGGUGAGGGCCACGCGGAAGUCGCGCCGG
rnacentral:rRNA from 1 species